CAGUAGCCGCGGUAAUACGAAGGGGGCUAGCGUUGCUCGGAAUGACUGGGCGUAAAGGGCGCGUAGGCGGAUUGUUUAGUUAGGCGUGAAAUUCCUGGGCUUAACCUGGGGACUGCGCUUAAUACAGGCAGUCUAGAGUGAGGAAGAGGGUUGUGGAAUUCCCAGUGUAGAGGUGAAAUUCGUAGAUAUUGGGAAGAACACCGGUGGCGAAGGCGGCAACCUGGUCCUUGACUGACGCUGAGGCACGAAAGCGUGGGGAGCAAACAGGAUUAGAUACCCCAGUAGUCCCUGUCUCUUAUAC
rnacentral:rRNA from 1 species